rnacentral:rRNA from 1 species
CCUACGGGUGGCUGCAGUGAGGAAUAUUCCGCAAUGGACGAAAGUCUGACGGAGCGACGCCGCGUGGAUGAUGAAGGCCGUGAGGUUGUAAAAUCCUUUUGCUGGGGAAGAAUAACCAUGGGAGGGAAUGCCCGUGGGAUGACAUGAACCGGCGAAUAAGCCCCGGCUAACUACGUGCCAGCAGCCGCGGUAACACGUAGGGGGCGAGCGUUGUUCGGAAUUACUGGGCGUAAAGGGCAUGUAGGCGGUUCUGUAAGCCUGACGUGAAAGGCUAUGGCUCAACCAUGGCAUUGCGUUGGGAACUGCGGGACUUGAGUCACGGAGAGGGAGCUGGAAUUCCAGGUGUAGGGGUGAAAUCUGUAGAUAUCUGGAAGAACACCAGUGGCGAAGGCGAGCUCCUGGCCGAUGACUGACGCUGAGGUGCGAAAGUGUGGGGAUCAAACAGGAUUAGAUACCCCUGUAGUC